rfam:Penicillium nalgiovense strain IBT 13039 PENNAL_contig0303 mitochondrial, whole genome shotgun sequence.
GAAACUAUUAUGGAUGGUUAGCUAUAUAUUUCAAGAUAUUUAUAUCUAGGAAACAAUAUAAACUAGAAAUCAUAGAGAAAUCUAAUUAUAAGACAAAGUGAAUUGAAAUAUCUUAGUAACUUUAGUAAAAGAAAUCAAACGAGAUUGUUAUUUGGUGUCUUCUGAAUAGCAAAAGCCUUAAUAAAUAAUUACUAUAUUUACCAUAUAGUAAUUAUUUAUAGUAAAUAUAUUAAAUAGUAAAAAACUAAAUAGUAUAUUUAAGUAUAACGGAAAAAAAUCUGUUGAAAAAUAGGGGAACCUUCCUCUAAGGCUAAAAAAAAUAUAUAAGCGAUAGAGUAACAGUACCGUGAGGGAAAUACCCUGAAAUAGUAGUUUUAUAAGCAGCUCAAGUUAAAUUUUAAAUAAAUAAUAAGAGCGUACCUUUUGCAUAAUGGGUCAGCAAGUUAAUUUUAGAUGCAAGUAACAUCUCUUUUAUAAGCAUUUACACAUUUAGAAUAUUAUCAUUUACAAUAGAUGAUAAGAAUAUAAGUAUGUAAAUUUAUUAAUAAAAUUAGGAGAUAGAUACGCAGAUAAACCAAUUAUGAAAAAAUGAAUUAGUAUCUAGAAUUAGACCCGAAGGCUAGUGAUCUUACCAUGGUCAGGGUUAUAAAAGCCCGAACGGGUUAUCGUUGUAAAGAUAUCCGAUGAACUGUGGUAAGUUAGUGAAAGACAAAACUGACUAGUAUAGCUGGUUUUCCGCGAAACCUAUGUAAGUAGGUAAUUUAAUUAACAUCUUAGCAGGUACAGAACUGUGAUCUCGGACAAUAUCUAAUAUAUUUGUCAACAUCGGGGGGUUGUAGUGACUUUACCGGAGAGUAUUUGCACUCGGAAGGGCAAAGAUGAAUGUUAAAUAAUCGGACAUAGUGCGAUAAGGUUGUAUGUCUAAAGGGAAACAGCCCAGAACAAGAGUUAAGGUUCCAAAAUUAUUGUUAAGUGAAAUUAAGGAUGUUUUUUUUUAAAACAAUCAGGAAAUAGGCUUAGAAGCGGCCAUUUUUUGAAGACCUCGUAACAGAGCACUGAUUAAUAAAUUAGGAAAAAACGCCGAAAAUUUAACGGAUCUAAAUAAUAUACCGAAACCUUGUACACAAAUAAAAAUUAAAGCAUUGUAGCUUAAGAUUUUGUGGGGUAGCGGAACAUUGGAUUAAACAAAAUAUUAAUAUUUUUCUUAAAAUAUUAAAGAUCUUGCAUAAAACUAUCUAAACUAAAAUAUAUGAUUUAUUAUAUAUUGUGAUUAUUAUGAUUUAUGAAUAUCUGUUAAAUCCAAGAGAGAAUGCUGACAUGAGUAACGAAAAAGGCUUUUAGCCUCGCCUGAAGCUUAUGGUUUCAUCUAAAAUCGGUGUCUAAAAAAAUUAAUCAAAAGAUAAUUUUGAUGACGUUUUGUGCUUUUUUUAUAUGAUAAUACCAAAACCUUUAAUAAGUAAUAAAGGUUCUGGAAAAGUUUAUUUUAUUAUUUGAAGUGAAAAGUAUUUAAUACUCAUACUUAUUGGUAUAAAAUUGUUAAUUAUAAUAUAUAAUACAUACUUAUUAUUAUAUUGUAAUUAACAAAUAUAAUAGAAUGAGUAAAAUAAAUAUAUUUUAACNNNNNNNNNNNNNNNNNNNNNNNNNNNNNNNNNNNNNNNNNNNNNNNNNNAUUAGAUUAUUAAUAUGUAUUUAUAGGCUAUAUUUGAAUUGUAUAUCAAGGUUCUUAUAUAGAUAUACCUAUAUUUAUUAAACGUUAUUAUUAAUAUUAUUAUAAUAUGUAGAAAAAAUAACGUUAUACUGGUAAAUAAAAGAAAAAAAAACAAUAAAUAACCGUACCUAGAAACUAACUCAAGUAAGCAAGUAGAGAAUACAAAGGCGUUUGAGAGAACAAUCAUUAAGGAACUCGGCAAAUUGACUCUGUACCUUUGGAAUAAGGAGGACCAUUAUUAUUAAAUUUAACAUAUAGUAAAGUAUGAAAUUAAAUAUGAAAAAUUAAAUUAAUAAUAAGAGGAAUCAUGAAAUAAUGUUGUACGACUGUUUAAUAAAAACACAGCACUCUGCAAAGAUAAAAAAUCAAAGUAUUGAGUGUGAUGUCUGCCCAAUGUCGGCUGGGUAACGGAUCUUCCUUGAUUAUUAACUGAGGUUUUGAAGGACACCCCGAUUAAUGGCGGCCUUACCUAUGAGGGUCCUAAGGUAGCGAAAUACCUUGGCCGUUAAAUGCGGUCCUGCAUGAAUGAUUUAACGAUGCAACAGCUGUCUCGNNNNNNNNNNNNNNNNNNNNN